AAAGCUAUGAAGCAUGUUUGGUAUGAAGCUUUUAGACUAUUACCAAGUAUUGGAGUCACUGCAAGCAGUAUUGGAGUGCUCUAUUUGAUUGUUUUUUCUCUUUUUAUAUGAAAUGGCUCGCAUUAGAUUCUCACACCAUUUUGCCUGUUUUGUCUGAGAAGCCACUUUGGUUUCUUAACUUUCUUCAGGACAAUACCAUUUUAAUUGUUGGAGCCACUGGCUUUCUCACCAAAAGUACAAUAUAGCGUUGGGUCUAAAUACCUUUGGAGUUAAGCAUGUGAUGAACUUUGCUAAACAAUGUACCAAACUCAAAGCUGUUCUUCAUGUAUCAACAGCUUAUGUAUGUGGUGAGAGAGGUGGACUAAUACUAGAGGACCCUUAUAAGUUUGGAUGAACUACGAGAGCAAGGGGCCACAGAGCGUGAAAUUAAAAUAGCUAUGAAGAACCUCGGUAUUAGCAGG